rnacentral:rRNA from 1 species
AUUUUAAUGGCCGCAGUAUAUUGACUGUGCAAAGGUAGCAUAAUAAUUAGCUUAUUGAUUGUAAGAUAGUAUGAAUGGUUGGACGAGAUAUUGACUGUCUCAUAUUGAUUAUUUAGAAUUUAAUUUUUGAGUUAAAAAGCUUAAAUUUUGUUAAAGGACGAGAAGACCCUUUAGAUCUUUAUUAUUAUAUAUUUUAUUUUAUUUAGAUUAUUUAUUUUUUAAUAUAUAUAUUUUUUUUAUUGGGGUGAUAUUUAGAUAUAAUUAACUCUUUUUUUUUAUUUUCAUUAAUUUAUGUUUAGAAGAUUUUUUAUUAUUUAUUUUAAGAUUAGAUACCUAAGGGAUAACAGCGUUAUUUCUUUUGAAAGUUCAUAUUGACAAUGAANAUUGCGACCUCGAUGUUGAAUUAANAUUAUUUUUAGGUGAAGUUACUUAAUUAUUAGGUCUGUUCGACCUUUAAAUUCUUACAUGAUCUGAGUUCAAA